UUCCGGUUGAUCCUGCCGGAGGUUACUGCUAUCGGUGUUCGCCUAAGCCAUGCGAGUCAUAUGUAGCAAUACAUGGCGUACUGCUCAGUAACACGUGGAUAACCUGCCCUUGGGACCGGCAUAACCCCGGGAAACUGGGGAUAAUUCCGGAUAACGCAUAUUUGCUGGAAUGCUUUAUGCGUCAAAAGGAUUCGUCUGCCCAAGGAUGGGUCUGCGGCCUAUCAGGUAGUAGUGGGUGUAAUGUACCUACUAGCCAGCGACGGGUACGGGUUGUGAGAGCAAGAGCCCGGAGAUGGAUUCUGAGACAUGAAUCCAGGCCCUACGGGGCGCAGCAGGCGCGAAAACUUUACAAUGCGGGAAACCGUGAUAAGGGGACACCGAGUGCCAGCACCAUAUGCUGGCUGUCCGGAUGUGUAAAAUACAUCCGUUAGCAAGGGCCGGGCAAGACCGGUGCCAGCCGCCGCGGUAACACCGGCGGCCCGAGUGGUGAUCGUGAUUAUUGGGUCUAAAGGGUCCGUAGCCGGUUUGGUCAGUCCUCCGGGAAAUCUGAUAGCUCAACUAUUAGGCUUUCGGGGGAUACUGCCAGACUUGGAACCGGGAGAGGUAAGAGGUACUACAGGGGUAGGAGUGAAAUCUUGUAAUCCCUGUGGGACCACCUGUGGCGAAGGCGUCUUACCAGAACGGGUUCGACGGUGAGGGACGAAAGCUGGGGGCACGAACCGGAUUAGAUACCCGGGUAGUCCCAGCCGUAAACGAUGCUCGCUAGGUGUCAGACAUGGCGCGACCGUGUCUGGUGCCGCAGGGAAGCCGUGAAGCGAGCCACCUGGGAAGUACGGCCGCAAGGCUGAAACUUAAAGGAAUUGGCGGGGGAGCACAACAACGGGUGGAGCCUGCGGUUUAAUUGGAUUCAACGCCGGA
rnacentral:rRNA from 1 species